AACAUCGCGCACCUGCGGGAACCUGCGGAAGGAUCAUUACAAGUGACCCCGGUUUACCACCGGGAUGUUCAUAACCCUUUGUUGUCCGACUCUGUUGCCUCCGGGGCGACCCUGCCUUCGGGCGGGGGCUCCGGGUGGACACUUCAAACUCUUGCGUAACUUUGCAGUCUGAGUAAACUUAAUUAAUAAAUUAAAACUUUCAACAACGGAUCU
rnacentral:misc_RNA from 1 species